ACGUGGCUAUUUGUUGGUUCAGGACGCGUAUGAUUAAUAGGGAUAGUCGGGGGCAUCAGUAUUCAAUUGUCAGAGGUGAAAUUCUUGGAUUUAUUCGAAGACUAACUACUGCGAAAGCAUUUGCCAAGGAUGUUUUCAUUAAUCAGUGAACGAAAGUUAGGGGAUCGAAGACGAUCAGAUACCGUCGUAGUCUUAACCAUAAACUAUGCCGACUAGGGAUCGGGCGAUGUUAUCUUNUUGACUCGCUCGGCACCUUACGAGAAAUCAAAGUUUUUGGGUUCUGGGGGGAAUAUGGUCGCAAGGCUGANACUUAAAGAAAUUGACGGAAGGGCACCACCAGGAGUGGAGCCUGCGGCUUAAUNUGACUCANCACGGGGAAACUCACCAGGUCCAGACACAAUAAGGAUUGACAGAUUGAGAGCUCUUUCUUGAUCUUGUGGGUGGUGGUGCAUGGCCGUUCUUAGUUGGUGGANUGAUUUGUCUGCUUANUCGCGAUAACGAACGANACCUUAACCUGCUANAUAGCCCGGCUANCUUUGGCUGGUCGCUGGCUUCUUANAGGGACUAUCGGCUCANGCCGAUGGAANUNGGAGGCAAUANCAGGGUCUGUGAUGCCCUUUAAUGUNCUGGGCCGCANGCGCGCUACCCUGACAGAGCCA
rnacentral:rRNA from 1 species